CAGAUGAUCCUUGAGUGGAUAAUUGCCACUU
rnacentral:piRNA from 1 species